AAAUAUCUAAAUUACAGUAUUUAGCCUUGACCAUCUACAAUUGUUGUUGUCAAAAUAAUAGUUCGCACUUUGUCAGACAAAUACCCAGGGAACAUCACAAACAAGCAGAAUUGUUUUACACUAAAAUUAGAUGAACUGUGUGCAUUGGCAGUCACUUGACACUACCGUUGGUAAUGCACUUAGCAUAGAUGUGAAGUUUUAGCUGGGUCACUGGAUUACAUCAGGGAUCAAUUCUUUCCUAUUAAACAGGAAACAACAGGUAAUAUUUGAAGGGGCUAGAUCGCAACAAGAUGAUGUACUUUCAUGAGUGCUACAAGGCACAAUCCUUGGGAUUUUAUUGUUUCUAACGUACACCAACGACAUACCCAUCCCGCUGUCCCCAUCUUUGCUGAUGACAAUCUAUUGCACAGAGAAAUAAGUGACGCCAAAGAUACAAUACAACUGCAAAAAGCCUUCAAGUAUUAGAAAAUUGAGAGAAGACAUGGAUGAUCAGAUUUAAUGCAACAAAAUGCAAUGUCAUCCGCAAACCACAGAAGAACAAAGAUCCUAUACAAUAUUAAUACAGCUUACAUGGCCACACACUCGAACCAGUAGAUGGUGCCGUAAACUUCGGAGUAAAAAUAUUCAACAAACCAUCAUUGAAUAAAUAUAUAGAACAUUUUGCAGCAAAGGGAAACCGAACACUUGGAUUUGUUUAACGAAAUUUAAAAGUAUGUACAAGAAAAUUCAAUGCUGCUUUUUAUACAACUUUAGCACGACCUGUCUUGUAGUAUGCUUCCACCAUAUGGACCCAACCAACCAAGCCAACAUUAGCAUUUUAGAAUUUAUUUAAAGGAGAGUAGCUAGAUUCGUCUAUAAUGACUUCAUAACACGUACACCUGGGUGGUUGUUGGAAGAGCUAAAUUGGGACUCAUUACAAACAACUUGACGUGGUGACAGGCUAUGCAUGCUCUAUCGUAUCCAGAAUGGAUUGAUAGUCAUCAACAAGAGUAUUCAAAUCAAAGGUGGAAGCAGUAGAACAAUCAUGGAAUGGAAUACGUUACCUGCCAAUGUUGCUGAAGUGGGAUCCCUCGAUGAUUUCCACUCAGGGCUACAGACUACAUCCAAUUAAUUGGCUCGUCAUUGUAAAUAGUUUCAAUCGUAAAUUAAAAGAUUUUAUUGUA